rnacentral:rRNA from 1 species
AAUAGAUACCCCGGUAGUCCACGCCGUAAACGAUGAGUGCUAAGUGUUAGGGGGUUUCCGCCCCUUAGUGCUGCAGCUAACGCAUUAAGCACUCCGCCUGGGGAGUACGGUCGCAAGACUGAAACUCAAAGGAAUUGACGGGGGCCCGCACAAGCGGUGGAGCAUGUGGUUUAAUUCGAAGCAACGCGAAGAACCUUACCAGGUCUUGACAUCCCAUUGACCGCUAUGGAGACAUAGCUUUCCCUUCGGGGACAGUGGUGACAGGUGGUGCAUGGUUGUCGUCAGCUCGUGUCGUGAGAUGUUGGGUUAAGUCCCGCAACGAGCGCAACCCUUGUUCUUAGUUGCCAUCAUUUAGUUGGGCACUCUAAGGAGACUGCCGGUGACAAACCGGAGGAAGGUGGGGAUGACGUCAAAUCAUCAUGCCCCUUAUGACCUGGGCUACACACGUGCUACAAUGGACGGUACAAACGGGUUGCCAACCCGCGAGGGGGAGCUAAUCCGAUAAAACCGUUCUCAGUUCGGAUUGUAGGCUGCAACUCGCCUAC